CCAGACUCCUACGGGAGGCAGCAGUGGGGAAUAUUGGGCAAUGGGCGCAAGCCUGACCCAGCAACGCCGCGUGAAGGAGGAAGGCUUUCGGGUUGUAAACUUCUUUUGUCAGGGACGAAGCAAGUGACGGUACCUGACGAAUAAGCCACGGCUAACUACGUGCCAGCAGCCGCGGUAAUACGUAGGUGGCAAGCGUUAUCCGGAUUUACUGGGUGUAAAGGGCGUGUAGGCGGGACUGCAAGUCAGAUGUGAAAACCACGGGCUCAACCUGUGGCCUGCAUUUGAAACUGUAGUUCUUGAGUACUGGAGAGGCAGACGGAAUUCCUAGUGUAGCGGUGAAAUGCGUAGAUAUUAGGAGGAACACCAGUGGCGAAGGCGGUCUGCUGGACAACAACUGACGCUGAGGCGCGAAAGCGUGGGGAGCAAACAGGAUUAGAUACCCCGGUACUG
rnacentral:rRNA from 1 species